UACAGAGGUCCCGAGCGUUGUUCGGAUUUAUUGGGCGUAAAGGGUGCGUAGGCGGCGGAGUAAGUUGGGUGUGAAAUCCCGGGGCUCAACCUCGGAAUGGCAUUCAAUACUGCUUCGCUAGAGUACUGGAGAGGAGGCUGGAAUUUACGGUGUAGCAGUGAAAUGCGUAGAUAUCGUAAGGAAGGCCGGUGGCGAAAGCGAGCCUCUGGACAGUUACUGACGCUGAUGCACGAAGGCCGAGGGGAGCAAACAGG
rnacentral:rRNA from 1 species